GUCCGCGUGGCUAAGUGGGUUACACUUUUGCCUGCCGCCCAAAAGGUGUCGGGUUCAAUCCCCCUGGUGGCUA